rnacentral:rRNA from 1 species
AUUGAACGCUGGCGGCAUGCCUUACACAUGCAAGUCGAACGGUAACAGGUCUUCGGAUGCUGACGAGUGGCGAACGGGUGAGUAAUACAUCGGAACGUGCCCGAUCGUGGGGGAUAACGAAGCGAAAGCUUUGCUAAUACCGCAUAAGAUCUACGGAUGAAAGCAGGGGACCGCAAGGCCUUGCGCGAACGGAGCGGCCGAUGGCAGAUUAGGUAGUUGGUGGGAUAAAAGCUUACCAAGCCGACGAUCUGUAGCUGGUCUGAGAGGACGACCAGCCACACUGGGACUGAGACACGGCCCAGACUCCUACGGGAGGCAGCAGUGGGGAAUUUUGGACAAUGGGCGAAAGCCUGAUCCAGCCAUGCCGCGUGCAGGAUGAAGGCCUUCGGGUUGUAAACUGCUUUUGUACGGAACGAAAAGACUCUUUCUAAUAAAGAGGGUCCAUGACGGUACCGUAAGAAUAAGCACCGGCUAACUACGUGCCAGCCGCCGCCGUAACAC